UACGUAGGGCGCAAGCGUUAUCCGGAAUUAUUGGGCGUAAAGAGCUCGUAGGCGGUUUGUCGCGUCUGCCGUGAAAGUCCGGGGCUCAACUCCGGAUCUGCGGUGGGUACGGGCAGACUAGAGUGCAGUAGGGGAGACUGGAAUUCCUGGUGUAGCGGUGAAAUGCGCAGAUAUCAGGAGGAACACCGAUGGCGAAGGCAGGUCUCUGGGCCGUUACUGACGCUGAGGAGCGAAAGCGUGGGGAGCGAACAGG
rnacentral:rRNA from 1 species